rnacentral:rRNA from 1 species
UACGUAGGGUCCGAGCGUUGUCCGGAAUUACUGGGCGUAAAGAGCUCGUAGGUGGUUUGUCGCGUUGUUCGUGAAAACUCACAGCUUAACUGUGGGCGUGCGGGCGAUACGGGCAGACUUGAGUACUGCAGGGGAGACUGGAAUUCCUGGUGUAGCGGUGGAAUGCUGCAGAUAUCAGGAGGAACACCGGUGGCGAAGGCGGGUCUCUGGGCAGUAA